rnacentral:lncRNA from 1 species
GGAGGUAGACCCACACAGAUGGGAUUUGGGCAUAGGUUUGGUUUCCCAGGGGGCAGUGCUGAGCUCUUUGCCAGUGGGAAAUGGGGUGCUGGUGAUUUCCAGUAGGUGACCUCACAGUGACUCAAGCUACCACUUACUGUUGAUUGUGACGAAAUGCCAGCUGAGGCACAUGCCUUGGGAGCUAAGUGGUUGCUGCCCUUGACCACUGUGAAGACUGGUGUGGGAAGGGUCGCUUUGGAUGCACUUGAGCAGGGGUCCCCAACCCCUGAGCCAUGGAGCCGCAAGGAGCCACACAGCAGGAGGUGAGCGGUGUCGAGUGAGGGAGUGAGGGAAGCUUCGUCUGUAUUUAGAGCCACUCCCCUUUGCUCACAUUCCCACCUGAGCUCCACCUUCUCAGAUGAGCAGCAGCAUUAGAUGCUCAUAGGAGAACGCACCCUGUUGUGAACCGUGCAUGUGAGGGAUCGAGGUUGCGCUGUCCUUAUGAGAAUCUAAUACCUAUUGAUCUGUCACUUUCUCCCAUCACGCUCAGGUGGGACCAUUCAGUUGCAGGAAAACAAGCUUAACACGCCCACUAAUUCUACAUUAUGGUGAGUUCUAUAAUUAUUUUAUUAUAUAUUACAGUGUAAUAAUGGAAAUAAAGUGCCUAAUAAAUGCAAAUGUGCUUACAUCUUUUGGCCCAGCUCCUACCUCCCGGCAGCCUCUCCAGGCCCAGAACUUUCUCCAGUCAGCCUCUACAGACCAAGCUCAUGACUCACAAUGGCCUAUUUAGGCCCAUACCCUAUGUCACGGCAGCCUCCGCAGAUGAGGCUACUGCCUCACAACAGCCUCCACAGGCACAGCUCCAUCGUUACAAUGGCCUCUUUAGACCCAGCUCCUGCCUCCCAGCCUUCUCUCCAGGCCCUGAACUUUCUCAAGUCGACCUCACCAGGCCCAGCUCAUGCUUCUUUGCAGCCUCUCCAGGCCCAGCUCCUGCAUCUUGGUGGCCCCUCCAGGCCCAGCCUCUGCCUCCCGUCAGCCUCUACAGUCCCAAAGUCUGCCUCACAGCAGAUUCUUCACGCCCAGCAUCUACCUCACUGUGGACCCCCCAAGCCAAGCUCCCAACCUUUCAGCAGCUUCUACACACCUAGCUCCUGCCACCCAGUGGCCUCUUUAGGCCAAGCUCAUGCUUCACAAGGGCCUUUCCAGGCCCAACUUUUGUCUCAUGGCAACCUUCCCUGGCCAGAUUCCUGCCUGUCUCCCAGCAGCCUAGACAGGCCCAGGUCUUGCCUCACACUGGCCUCUCUACAUCCAGCUUAUGCCUCACGGUGGCCUCUCCACGCCCAACUCCUGUCCCAGGACGUCAUCUCCGGGCCCAAAACUUACUCAAGUCAGACUCUCUAGUCCCAACUGCUGCCUCCUGGUGGCCUAUGAAGGCCCAAAAUCUCCUCAAGUUGACCUGUCCAGGCCCAGCUCCUGCCUCCUGUCAGCGUCUACAGGCCCAACCUCUGCCUCAUGGGGGCUUCUCCAGGCCCACCUCUUCCUCUUGGCUGGGUCUACAGGCACAACUGCUGCCUCACAACAGCCUUUUUUGGCCCAGUUCCUGUCCAGCUCAUGGCGGCCAAUGUAGGCCCAAAACUUCCUCAAGUCAAACUCUCCAGGCCCACCUUCUGCUUCCCGGUGGCAUCAACAGGCCCAGCUUUGACUUGAGAACAGCCUCUGCAGGCCCUGCUCUUGCCUCCCAGGGGCUUUUUCCAGGCCCAGCUCUUGCCUCAUGGCAGCUGCCCCAGGCCAAAUUUCUGCCUGCCUGCCAGCAGCCUCAACAGGCACAGCUCCUCCCUCACAGUGGCCCAUUUAGGCCCAACUCAUGACUGUGAGUCCAUUUCCAGGCCUAGUGCCUGCCUCGUGGCUGACUCUUGAAGCCCAAAACUUCCUCAAAUCAGGCUUUUGCCCAACUUCUGUCUACUGUCGGACUCUACAGGUCAGCCUCUGCCUCACAGUGGACCCUCCAGACCCAGAUGGUGUCUCACUGUGGCAUCCUCAGGCGAAGCUCCUGCCUUUCGGCAGCCUCUCCAGGCCCAGCUCCUCCUGCCUCCCAGUGGCCUCUUUCGGCCCAGCCCAGCUCAUGCCUCCCGGCGGCCUUCCCAAGCCCCGCUUUUGACUUUCGGUGGCCUCUGCAGGCCUCGACAAGGCCCAGCCUCCUGCCUCCCGAAGGCCUGCACAGGCCCAGCCUCUGCCUCACAGCGGACUCUCCACGCCCAGCUAGCUGUUGCUUCACUGCGGCCUCCCGAGUCCAAAGCUCCUGCCUCUCGGCCGCUUCGGCAGGCCCAGCUCCCGCCUGCCAGUGGCCUCUUCAGGCCCAUGGGGCUCAUUCCUGACAACAGCCUUUCCAGGCCCAGUUUUUCCCUUCCGGCGGCCUCUCCGGGCCCAGAACCUCCUCAAGUCGGCCUCUCCAGACCCACUUGCACCCUCCGGGCGUUCUCUCCGGGCCCAGCUCUUCUUCCUGGUUGGGUCUCCAGGCCCGAUUCCUGCCUCUCAACAACCUCUUUGGACUCAGUGCCUACCCAUCUCCUGGCGGCCUUGGUCGGCCCACAGCUUCCUCAAGCCAAGCUCCCCAGGCCCAGGUCAGGCCUCACGGUGGCCUCUCCAGGAUGAGCUCCUGCCCUCCGAUGGCAUCUCCAGGCCCCAAAUGGUCUCCGGUCGGUGGGCUCCUCCACGCCAAGGUUGGGCCUCCCGGCGACCGCCGCAGGCCCAAGUUGUCCUGAAGUCAGGCUCUCCCGGCCCUGCCUCCCAGCAAGUAAGCAAGCUCUUUUGGCUCAACUCCUGCCCAGCUCCCAACCGCCUUUGUAGGCCCCGAACUUUCUCCAGCCAAGCUCUGAGGGCCCACCUCCUGCCUCCUGGUGGCCUGUACAGUUCUAGCACUGGUUGGAGAACAGCC